rnacentral:rRNA from 1 species
UACGGAGGAUCCGAGCGUUAUCCGGAUUUAUCGGGUUUAAAGGGUGCGUAGGCGGCCUAUUAAGUCAGGGGUGAAAUACGGUGGCUCAACCAUCGCAGUGCCUUUGAUACUGAUGGGCUUGAAUCCAUUUGAAGUGGGCGGAAUAAGACAAGUAGCGGUGAAAUGCAUAGAUAUGUCUUAGAACUCCGAUUGCGAAGGCAGCUCACUAAGCUGGUAUUGACGCUGAUGCACGAAAGCGUGGGGAUCGAACAGG